rnacentral:rRNA from 1 species
GUGCCUAAUACAUGCAAGUCGAACGGUCUUUCUAUGGAAGCUUGCUUCCACUGAGAAGAUAGUGGCGAACGGGCGAGUAACACGUGGGUAACCUGCCCAUAAGAGGGGGAUAACAUCCGGAAACGGGUGCUAAUACCGCAUAGUUUUCUUGAUCGCAUGAUCGGGAAAGGAAAGACGGCCUUUGUGCUGUCGCUUAUGGAUGGACCCGCGGCGUAUUAGUUAGUUGGUGAGGUAACGGCUCACCAAGACGAUGAUACGUAGCCGACCUGAGAGGGUGAUCGGCCACAUUGGGACUGAGACACGGCCCAAACUCCUACGGGAGGCAGCAGUAGGGAAUCUUCCGCAAUGGACGAAAGUCUGACGGAGCAACGCCGCGUCGAGUGAAAGAAGGUUUUCGGAUCGUAAAACUCUGUUGUCAGAGAAGAACAAGUUGGAGAGUAACUGCUCCAGCCUUGACGGUAUCUGACCAGAAAGCCACGGCUAACUACGUGCCAGCCGCGGC